rnacentral:hammerhead_ribozyme from 1 species
AUCCAGAUGACAUGUCCCAAAUAGGACGAAACUGAAUUCAAAUUGGAU